GCAUGCAUGAGCAUGAAUGACAUCAGCUUCUUUGGACGUUAUUUUAAAAUAUUUUGGAGGGAACGGAAUAUUGCAGUAGUGCAACUGCCUGAUUGCAUGCUGUAGGUCAGGAGUCUUUAGAAGAGGAGAAGGAAAAUCAGGGAUGAAUAUCUCAACUUUAUGCAUUAUGACAUGACCUACCACCACAAAAGGAAGAGAUGACAAUCUACCAGGCACUUCAGACCAUAAUUCCUUGUCAUUUGACAUUCAGGAUAAUAGAACACCAGUGUGUACACGUGAAUUUUCGAACUAUGAUGGUCAAGGUUUGGAGGAAGAAAAUGAGUAUUGCGACUACGGAAGAAACAUAACAUCCAAAUACUCAUUCAGCAAACAUGUCAUUAAGAUUUCCUCAGCCAUAUGAAGACAGUCUAAAUUACUAUUAAAAAAAUCUAUCUCAGAUAUAAAGAUUGUGUGGUCUCAGUUUACAAAACCUAUGUACAACUUAUUAUUAAAUAUAAUAAUAUGUUCUGUAGUUAUACAUAACAUUUUGUUAUAUGUUCUGUAGUUAUACAACUGGACACCUAAUUACUUUAGAAACAAGUCAAAGAAAAUGUACUAAAAUGGUUUCUUUAUUCAGUGGUUUGAGUUGCUCUGAAUGUUUCAAUGAUUUAAUGAUUGGAGAUUCAAACUAAGAGCCGACUUAAGUCAUUUAAGAGUUUACCUGAUCUCAAAACCCAUAGUUCAAGUUUGCAAACUAUAAACAUCUAAAUUGUAUAUAAAGGGCUUUAAUUCAUCCACAAAUUUAACAAAUAGAGGUAAGGAAUUCCAUAAUCUGCCAGCCCUUACCUGAACAAAAGUAGACUUUAACCUUGAAUUAACUGAAGCAAUCUUGACCACUCAUUUGUUAUUUCUUGUCUGAAGCUCAUGACUAAUAAAUGACUAAUACAUUCUAUUUCUAACAUUGCAGUAGGAUAAUCACCAUGCAAACAUUUAUAAACACUGCCCUUAAAAAUCUGUAGACUAUGGAACAGAGGGUUAAGUUCCUAAGACUACCUACAUAAGUCUUUGACUCAUAGCAGUUUAUUUAUCUUGUCAACAUUUUCUGUAUAUGCUGUAAUGACUUCAUUUGUUUGAUGUUAUAUGAGCAAAAUGAUCCACCAUAUUCAUUAUUGGACAAAUACUAGUACAUUUUGAUACAGAGUAUGUCUGUUUAUUAAAUGAAACUUAAAUCUGAAGUACAUAAAAGCAAUAUUAAAGAGAUAUAAAAAGGCAGAUAUUUUUGCUCUAUAUGGAUGAUCAAUACAGGGAAGAAAAUACAUGCUAAAUAUUUCCACAAAUUAUUUGAAAGUGACAAACUUAAGGAGAUCAGAGCCAUACAGUUCAUAACGUUAUGAGAUCUAAGCUGAAUUUACUAAACAAAUAGUAGUAAAACUGCGUUAUGUGCAUUUUUAUUUAACACAUAACUGAUUCACAAUAAAGAGGUAUAACAUUUUUGUGCACAAAAUAUUGAAUACCUACAUUUAAUCAAUUGUUUUUGUUUUUGUUUUUCCAGUAGGAUAUAAUUUGAUUUUUAGAAACUAGGUAAAUAAGUGUCAGUAAUGUGAUAUUUUUUCUUUAAAUAAUAGUCCAUAUAACUGAAUUCAGAUUUAUGAAGCAUCUUCUCAACCAUCUUGUUUGUUAUAAAUGAAAAAUUAUAGGGUAAUUGUAUUGCAUUUUGCCUUUAAAAAAUUCCUCAUGCUAACUCCUUUCUCUAAUUAACAUAUUUGAACCCAUUUGUAAAAAUUCUGAUGUUGGUUAUGAUUUCUUUCAAAAUGUGAAGAUCUCGCCGGAGGCAUUUUCAGGUACGAAUUUGGAAAGGCUCUUCGAAGUCUAUUCAAUUUAUAGACUUUACCUAACAGAUGAUUUCUCCCUAUACAGGUACAAAUUUCAGAUCCACAGGGGAUUUGCCUCUUUAUUUUCAUCUGAAUUGUUGUGAAUAAGGGCUUUAGAUCACAGUUUCCAUAGCUAUU